rnacentral:pre_miRNA from 1 species
GGAUGCAUUACUGGGCAAUUACACCUUUGGCAGUUGGCCACUCGAUCCCAUGUUCAUGUGAGCAAAACUCGAGAAAUCGCACACGGCAUGCAUGGAUGGAAGUAAGCUCACUGCCAAAGGUGAUUUGCCCGGCAAUUCAUCU